AUGGUUAAGUUAGAAAGGGCGCACGGUGGAUGCCUUGGCACUAGGAGCCGAUGAAGGACGGGACGAACACCGAUAUGCUUCGGGGAGCUGUAAGCAAGCUUUGAUCCGGAGAUUUCCGAAUGGGGAAACCCACUGCUCGUAAUGGAGUAGUAUCCAUACUUGAAUACAUAGAGUAUGAGAAGGCAUACCCGGGGAACUGAAACAUCUAAGUACCCGGAGGAAGAGAAAGCAAAUGCGAUUCCCUGAGUAGCGGCGAGCGAAACGGGAACAGCCCAAACCAAGAGGCUUGCCUCUUGGGGUUGUAGGACACUCUAUACGGAGUUACAAAGGAACGAUAUAAGCGAAGAGGUCUGGAAAGGCCCGCCAAAGAAGGUAACAGCCCUGUAACUGAAAUGUUGUUCUCUCCAGAGUGGAUCCUGAGUACGGCGGAACACGUGAAAUUCCGUCGGAAUCCGGGAGGACCAUCUCCCAAGGCUAAAUACUCCCUAGUGACCGAUAGUGAACCAGUACCGUGAGGGAAAGGUGAAAAGCACCCCGGAAGGGGAGUGAAAUAGAUCCUGAAACCGUGUGCCUACAAGUAGUCAGAGCCCGUUAAAGGGUGAUGGCGUGCCUUUUGUAGAAUGAACCGGCGAGUUACGAUCCCGUGCAAGGUUAAGCAGAAGAUGCGGAGCCGCAGCGAAAGCGAGUCUGAAUAGGGCGCAUGAGUACGUGGUCGUAGACCCGAAACCAGGUGAUCUACCCAUGUCCAGGGUGAAGUUCAGGUAACACUGAAUGGAGGCCCGAACCCACGCACGUUGAAAAGUGCGGGGAUGAGGUGUGGGUAGGGGUGAAAUGCCAAUCGAACCUGGAGAUAGCUGGUUCUCUCCGAAAUAGCUUUAGGGCUAGCCUCAAGGUAAGAGUCUCGGAGGUAGAGCACUGAUUGGACUAGGGGCCCCUACCGGGUUACCGAAUUCAGUCAAACUCCGAAUGCCGAUGACUUAUCCUUGGGAGUCAGACUGCGAGUGAUAAGAUCCGUAGUCGAAAGGGAAACAGCCCAGACCGCCAGCUAAGGUCCCAAAGUAUACGUUAAGUGGAAAAGGAUGUGGAGUUGCUUAGACAACCAGGAUGUUGGCUUAGAAGC
rnacentral:rRNA from 1 species